UUUUAGUCCCGAUUGCAGUGAAAAUCCUUUUUGGCUGGGGUUCAGCCAAAAAGAUUGUAACGAAAAGCGGGAACAAUC
rnacentral:sRNA from 1 species